AGCGAACGCUGGCGGCAUGCUUAACACAUGCAAGUCGCGCGGGUGGUUUCGGACAUCUGCGGCUGACGGGUGAGGAGCGCGGAGGAAUGUAUGCCGAGGUGGGGAACAACCCUGUCAAACUGGAGCUAAUACGGCAAGGUGCGCGAAGACCAAAGACUUAGGGCGGGUUGGUAGCAGGCUUCGUCCGACUUGGCAGGUGUUGUGGUAAAGGCGUACCAAGCCUGCGAUCGGUAGCUGGUAGGAGAGGACGGUCAGACACACUGGGACUGAGACACGGCCCAGAAUCCUACGCGAAGCAGCAGUGGGGAAUACAGGACAAUGGGGUCAAGGAUGAUCCAGCAAUGCCGCGUGAGUGAAGAAGGUCUUAGGAUUGUGAAGCACGUUCGGACGGGACGAUGCUGACGGUACCCGCAGAAGAAGCCCCGGCUAACUUCGUG
rnacentral:rRNA from 1 species